rnacentral:snRNA from 1 species
GUGCUUGCUUCGACAGCACACAUACUAAAAUUGGAACGAUACAGAGAAGAUUAGCAUGGCACCUGUGCAAGAAUGACAUGUACAUUUGUGAAGCGUUCCAUAUGUUU